AGCUCCAAUAGCGUAUAUUAAAGUUGUUGCAGUUAAAAAGCUCGUAGUUGGAUUUCGGAGCUGAGCGUGCGGUCCGCCUUCUGGCGUGCACUGUUCGCUCGGUUCUUCUUCUCGUGGAACGCGUGUGCUCUUCACUGAGUGUGCGUGGGACUCGGGACUUUUACUUUGAAAAAAUUAGAGUGUUCAAAGCAGGCCUUCGCUUGAAUACAUUAGCAUGGAAUAAUGAAAUAGGACCAUGGUUCUAUUUUGUUGGUUUUCGGAACCAAGGUAAUGAUUAAUAGGGACAGUUGGGGGCAUUCGUAUUCAAUUGUCAGAGGUGAAAUUCUUGGAUUUAUGGAAGACGAACAACUGCGAAAGCAUUUGCCAAGGAUGUUUUCAUUAAUCAAGAACGAAAGUACGC
rnacentral:rRNA from 1 species